AGUAGGCGACAACUUUCCACAACUACUAAACAUCUAAAUUAACUUUUUAAUUCGUUUUGUUUUUCAUAAAUCUUACGGACUGGCUAGCAGGCAAAUAACGAGACACAGGAAGACAUCGAGUUAAGUAAAAAAAUGACAGAAAUUAACGCUGCAAUACAGGCAAUUACUACAGUAAAAACAACAGUUGAAAUAACUGAUACGAUGGCAGCCUCGACGGCUCCGUCUCUGGUGCAGACCACAUCAAAAACGACAACAACAACAGGAACUCCACGACAAAGAACUUUGAUGCGUGCUGCGGAAAUGGACGCAGAUACCGAUGAGGCUGAUGCGGAUGAUGUAGAUGAUGGUAAAGCUGCUGCUGAUUCUGCUGCUGCUGCUGUCGCUGCUGCUGCUACUGAUGAUGAUGAUGAUGCGGCGGACAGCAUCACUUUGGAGCUGGCAUUGUCACCCAACACGCCCACACCACCACCCACCACUGCCGACGAGGAUCUGGCUGAGCUGGACAACAGCAAGCCUUUCAAGACAAAUCCUAAGCCUGUACGCAAGUGUCCAAUCAGUUUUGCUGCAUUUUGAAGAGCAUAUUUCUAUUUUCAUUGAAAAGCUAUUACCCCCAAUUUGAGCCUAAUUACUACGCUUAUAGAUAUCUUCUAUGCAUGAGUACAUUUUGAACUCGUUAUGCGGUCAUAAAAAUGAGAACGGAGCGCACCGAGGUCCCUAUGUGGUGAACAGGACUCCCCGCCGGCAUGCUGUUGUCUGUGGGACUAAUACGAAUGCGACAUGGAAAACGCAUUUGGUUUUUUCUUUUAAUGUCGUCUGAGAACUGUUCGGUUCUACCUACUAUGCAAAAGCCAUGUUUCAAAAACGAAGAACCAAAACCAAAAUCCUUAUACAAAUGCCAUGCAAAAUGAAUGGGCAGGCGGGUAAAGUGGGAGGGCGGGCUGGAAUGAAUUAAGUUAGAAAAUACACAUGCUACAAACAUGACAAGAACAACAGCAAUAGCAACAGCAACAGCUACAACAACAACAAGCAAUUACAACAAGUAAAAGCCUGGUAAGGUAAAAGCAGGCGCACACAUUGCGUAUACGCAACGUAGCGCAUUAAAGUAAAUAAGCGAGCAUUAUUCAUGUCCAAGCAAGCGUGCAACUUAACUAUACCACUCCAUGGGGCAAUACCAAGUAGCAAUAAGCUGCAGCACUUGCCUGGGGGAGGGGGGCUGUCUGUUGCCCGUCUGUUGACUAUCUGCUAAUAAUAUGCGUGUCAAUGCGGUGACAAGCUUGUAAAUUGCGAUGCUUUCCGAUGUCUUCCCUUCGCCCUUCCUUGUUUGUUAUUGCUGUAAAAUACUUAAUGGACUCGCAAUUGCAGAGAGUAAACUAUUUCAAUAAUGUAAUGGGACAACAACGGCUACAGGCAGGCCCCGGUUACUAUGGCAUUUUGAUGGCAAUCGUGGGAAAUUAGUGCCGGCAAAUAGCAUCGGCGAGGAGCCUGACUCCGUACAAUGGAAGCACAAAGCAAAGCUGUGCAGAGUGCUGAAAUGUAAUACAAACAAUUCAUACUUCAAUAGAACCACGUAUAAAUGGGUCAAUUUUCACAAAGGUCUAGCUGAAUGGAGUGAAAGCUCAGGGGGCACGUUGGCAAAACAGCUGCUAGUACGAGAUCCGCCUUGCCUAUUAUAUUUCUGUGAAUUGAAUUGAGCAAAUCGAAUAUUUCAGAACUAGCAGUUACAAAUAGACAACAAAUAAAUAUCAAUAGAACUAAGGUUAAUAAUAAACAAAAGACCAGUCCCGCUGUGCCGACGAGAUGUGGCAGUUGA